AUUGAACGCUGGCGGCAUACCUUACACAUGCAAGUCGAACGGUAACGGGCCUUCGGGUGCCGACGAGUGGCGAACGGGGUGAGUAAUGUAUCGGAACGUACCUUUCAGUGGGGGAUAACGUAGCGAAAGUUACGCUAAUACCGCAUAUUCUGUGAGCAGGAAAGCAGGGGAUCGCAAGACCUUGCGCUGAUUGAGCGGCCGAUAUCAGAUUAGCUAGUUGGUGAGGUAAAGGCUCACCAAGGCGACGAUCUGUAGCGGGUCUGAGAGGAUGAUCCGCCACACUGGAACUGAGACACGGUCCAGACUCCUACGGGAGGCAGCAGUGGGGAAUUUUGGACAAUGGGGGCAACCCUGAUCCAGCCAUGCCGCGUGAGUGAAGAAGGCCUCGGUUGUAA
rnacentral:rRNA from 1 species